GAGUCUUGAACUAUUGCCAUAUUUCCAUCAUUGCAUUAAAAAUUUAAAAUUGCGCAGAAUCCCACGCCGCAAAAUCCCGCUCUACUUUUUUUCCUCAGCCGGCUAUAAACUUCCCAUGGCCGAUUCCAAAUCCAAGCCAACAAACUCAGCCUCAGGUGAAAGGGAAUUAAAAGCACCUAAUUUGCUUGAAAGAGCAAAGGAAGAAUUUGAGGCAAUAGCGCAUCA